rnacentral:rRNA from 1 species
UACAGAGGUGGCAAGCGUUGUUCGGAAUUACUGGGCGUAAAGGGCGCGUAGGCGGCUUUCUAAGUCAGACGUGAAAUCCCCCGGCUUAACCUGGGAACUGCGUCUGAUACUGGGGGGCUAGAGUGCGGGAGAGGGAUGCGGAAUUCCAGGUGUAGCGGUGAAAUGCGUAGAUAUCUGGAGGAACACCGGUGGCGAAGGCGGCAUCCUGGACCGACACUGACGCUGAGGCGCGAAAGCUAGGGUAGCAAACGGG